UCCCAUCAGAACUCCGCAGUUAAGCGUGCUUGGACGAGAGUAGUUAUGGGAUGGGUGACCUCCUGGGAAGUCCUCGUGUUGCAUCCCC
rnacentral:rRNA from 1 species